UUACACUUCAUUUAGCCCUCAUUAUCUAGUUGCAACUAAGGGCCCUAACUCUUGAGGGUCCAACAGAGCGCAAACCUUCUUUAGGAAGGCACUGCUGACUACUUACACUUUCAUGUCUGAUGCAGAGGACAUCCCAGCAUGGGCUGAAUAAGAGCCCAAAGAAAAUAAUAAACACAAGCAUAUUACUAUUCAGGAAAGGAUGCUGAGAGAGAAAUCAAUAGGAUGGGUCUUAAGGGCCCAGAAUGUGAUCAUUAGCAGAGGGAUAUGGGAAGCCCCCCAGCACAAAGAGGAUGUGAGCCUGAGUGGUUGCCAUGGUGAUGUUAACCACUCCCAGGCCUACCCUUUUAUUUUGCAAAUAUCCGUUUUCCAAGGGUAGUGCUGAAAUGUUUGCUGUUUCCUCCCUGCUAAUUGCUGAGUAAUGUAGUGCUGGCAAGAGGUGUCAGACUGACAGUGGGAACUGGUUUUCUUUAUUUAUACUCACAAAACAGGCACGGAGGGAGGGGCACUGCUCCUUGGCAGAAAACUGGCUCAAGCACAACAUCUGAGUGGGGAUGGGAUGUAAUUCUACCUUCAGGGCAUUAAAUUCGGCAGAGGUAGAUCCAGUAAGAGAUUGAUAGGUAGCAUAGGAAAAUGAAUUUGAAGGAUGGCAAAGAUAUGAAAAUGGACCCACAGCCAGAGUUUCUCUAUGAUGGAACACAGCCACCACAUUUGCAAAAAGGAACCUUUGCAGAGCCCAAUUGAAGGUAGUGAAUGAUCGCAGAAAAGGAAACUUCUCUAAAAUGAUGAGUUUGGUGAAAAGAAAACUGAAAGGGAAAAUCAGGAGAGUCACUUCACUUCACUCCAGAAUGCAUGGAGUUUACCUGUUAGCCAUGCUGGCAUCCUCCUGGACUUGAUGGGCAGCAAAAGACUAGUCAGCUUCAACAAGACAGCUGUCUGCCCUGAUUGACCCUUUCUUCAAGUGAACUACAGGGGAUGAUGCAAUCAAGUGGAGGGGAAAGAAAAACCCAGGAUCCUCUAAAACCUGCAUUGUACGAUUGCUGGAAUGACCCUUCACUUUUGAAUGAUACUGAAUGAUGCAGUGGAGCAAAGCAUGAUAAUGGACAUGGUGCUCCUCUAUUUAUGGAAAUACAAGCAUGGGGGGCGGGGCGGGUUAGCAGACAUCUGUGAGUCAGAGCUUAUGAGAUGUCUUCCUAUCUCUGCUGCUUCCUCGCAUGAUGAUGACAGAGUAGCUGAGAUCAAACAGUUGUAUUCAAAGUACUGCUCUGUUCCUUUAGUAAGUGGAAUACUUUGUGUAUGAUGUUUAUACCAUUUUUAAGGCUCUGUAAAGCCACAGUUUUGGGAAUUUAUGUUAACCUUCUGUAACAAUAACUAUGCUGCACUGGAAGAAUGUUGAGGUGCCUUUUGUAGAAAGCAUUGUUGAAAAUGUUUGGCCCUUUGGCCCUUUGACCCUUGACUAUUCUCAGAGCAGGAAAAAUAAGUUUGGCUAGUUUUCAUCUGUUAUCUCCACCACUUCUAUAUCGUGGUUCUUCAGAUAGUAUCAUUUUGCAUGGCAUGGCUGAUCAGUGACUGAAGGGGAUGCUGGCGUGGGCUCCUGCAGUAUUUAUUUAUAUUUACAAUUCUUUCCUACUCUCUUCCUCCAAGGAACCCAGAGCAAUGUACAAGGUUAUGUUUAGCCUCACAACAAGCCUGUGAGGUUGGUUAAACAGAGAGAUAAGUGACUGGCCCAGAAUUACCCAGUGAGUUCAUGGCCAAAUGAAGAUUUGAACUUAGGUCUCCUCAGUCCUAGUCCAAUGCUCUAACAACUACACCACACUAGCACUGGGUGUCACAGAGAAGUCCUUGCCAGGAUGAGGCAGAUAAGAGAAGAAGAAUAUUGAGCAACCCCACAUUUCAAUUUUCUGGGGCUUCCUGUCGAGAAUUAGUAGAACCUGUCCUUUGAGUGUUAUCAUAGUAGUAACAGCAGCAUUUUGUGGUUAAAGUUAUUAAAGACAGGUGAAAUAUCCAGUUAUGGCUUUCAGCCAUUUUGUGGCACUCACACUGUAACAAAAGCCAAUUGCAGAGUCAGUGCCAGAAAAUGGUUGAAAGAGAGGUUGGAAAUUGACCAGGGAACUGACAGCAAUUAGGAGCACCUAAAGAUGCAGAGUGAGCAACCAUUUAAUCGCCUUUCCUAGAAAGGAGGUAUUAGGGAAAGGCUGGUAACUGGCAAGGGGCUAUGAUGAUGGGGCAGCAAGGAGCAACAGCCUUCUGUUUCAUAGUUCAGCCAGGCCUUGAACAAACAUAUACAAGGCCAAAUACCAGCUGGCAUGAUGAGCAACCUACCAUCGCUGUAAUGCUCCACCCCAGGGCCACUGCAGGCUUGGAAGCAGUCUGGAAGCUGUUCAGGACAAGCUGUCAUGCAAGCUGUGCUACUGCAGUUUCCCCCAUUCACCACAAUGGGAAAAAACCAUGGUAGCACUGCUUGUGAAAUUGCUCGUUCUGAACAGUGUAGAGGCUGCUUACCCCAGCAGCCCCGGGGUGAAGCAUUAUGGUGAUGGUAGACUGUGCAUCAUGUCAGCUACUGUAUGGAAUAUUCUGAGCUAGCCCAUGUGCGGAGGCUAGCUGAGUGUUGGGGGCGGACAGCCUCCCUGCGGAAUGCCGGGUGAGUUGCCGCUGGUUCCCAGAGGCUCCUGGGAGUGGAAUGGGGUGCCCAAGGUGGCGAAGAGCAGCUUUUAAAAAAUGAAUUGCACAUCUGUCUCACCAACCCGCUCCCAUCCCCUGGGACCUGGCUUCACUCACUGGCCACUCCUAAGGUUUAAAAAAAUGUCGCAGCACCACAGGUGCUGCAAUGGUCUGGGCGUCGGAUUCUUUGGGAGUGUUGCAACACUCUUGAAGCUAGCCACUUUAGAUAUCAGAUUGUGGACCAUUUCUCAGAAGUGUCAGGGCAGCCCAUCCAGUAUCAUCCCCUACCUAAUGAAUAGUCUGCAGAGGGAAAAGGGUGAAAUGGUACCACACUAUCUUUUCUAACAGAAAAGGAAGCAAGGGUGAGACAUUCGAAAGAAAGGAAGGAAUUGCAGGUGUGGAGGAGAAGAGAAGAAAGGAUUGCUCCACUUCAGGCAACAAAAUGUCAUGGGUUGGCACCAACAAAGGGACCAUCAAAUCAGAUAUAAAAGUGGCAGCAUUCAGAAACCAGUAUGGGGACAUUUCAGUCUUCCAUACAGAUGACUUGAAACAAAAUAACUGGAGAGACUUGAAUGUGAAGUUGUACUGUUGAGAGUUCAUUAGCAAAUCUGAUCUAUAUCUUGAGAUGAAUGAGGAUUAUAAAUGACUUUCUCACUUCAGAAAAUAAUUAUUUCUCAUGUGUCAUUAAUACUGUAUUGAACAACAGUAUUAAUGACACAUGAGAAAUAAUUAUUUUCUGAAGUGAGAAAGUGAGACACGAUUAAUCAGUUAAUGAUUGAGAAGUGGUAUAAUAAGGUGUGGUCAAUUGCAUUGCUAGAAAAGAUCACUGACAAGAUUAAAUUAAUGAAGGCUGAGAGAAUAGAUUCACAGUUCUACAAUAUUUGGGCAGAUUAUAUUUAUCAUUAAUAGUACUAGAACUGAUUCUGGAUUUUCUUGUGAUAUAUAGAAAAUAUGAUUAUUAAAUGUAUUGUGUUACUAUGAGAUACUGUUUUUUGUUGUUAUACUAUGUUAAUACUGUUAUAAUAAAAAAACUUUAAAAAUUAA